GGCUAGGAGGCUUUGAGGGAAGCCAUGUGAUCUGAGUACCAUCUGAACCAGUUUUGCACACUGCUAGCUUACAGUAAAGUGGGCUCACACUGAUCUGUCAAAUUCCUACCUUCCGUUCUGUGGGCUGAAAGCUCUGAUGUACCUGGAUACUCCUGACUCUUCAUUACAGAGAGAAGCCAAAGAGGAUUAAGGGCUGUUUUCACAAUGCUGCCCACCCACUGCAACAGCAAAAUAAAACAAACUUGUCAGGUCUCUUGUAUAAAAUGCAACUCACUUUGUGUUUUCAGUGAAAUAUAAGACGCAUGCAUUGCACAGGCUGCAUAGAGGCAACCUCUGGAGGCACACAGGGCAGUGUAACAAGGCAGUGUGAGGGUUCAGUGCACUGCCCUGUGCCCUGGGUGGGAGUCACACACAGGAAAGGUAUUGCUGCCCUCCUUCCCUUGAGGGGUCUGACCGUGAAGCAGUUCAAGUUGCCAUUGGGCUAAGUAAGAGAAGGCUGCCCAGCUCACAUCCCAGCUCCCUGGCUGGCUAUGCAUGCUUCCCAGACAGCUCUGCCCACUGCUGGGCCAGGGCUAGAUGACUGUUGGAUCCUAAACAAAGGGAAGGUUGUGGGCAACUUAAGUUACUGCAACCUCUAUCCAGAUGGACUGUCAGCGACUGGGAAACCUGCCCAGCGUGAUGACGGCAAAGCUCAGUGUAAAUCUAGCCCAGAGAUAGUAAUGAGUGAAGGGUUAGUUUGAAAUGUGAGGUAGAAAUUAAAUGAUUUUUUUCUCUGUAAAUCCCACAUUUUAUUGAGGCAUUUAAAUUGUUUCUGAUGAGCACAUGGUCAGGAUGCAUUUCUAGCCUUUUUUUCAUUGACAUAUGGGUUUUUCUAUGAUCAGAUCCUGUAACCCUUUUCUUAUGAGGAUGCACUUGCUAUAUGCCACUUCAUUUUCACUCACCAUGA